ACGAACGCUGGCGGCGUGCUUAACACAUGCAAGUCGAACGGAAAGGCCCUGCUUUUGUGGGGUGCUCGAGUGGCCAACGGGUGAGUAACACGUGAGUAACCUGCCCUUGACUUUGGGAUAACUUCAGGAAACUGGGGCUAAUACCGGAUAGGAGCUCCUGCUGCAUGGUGGGGGUUGGAAAGUUUCGGCGGUUGGGGAUGGACUCGCGGCUUAUCAGCUUGUUGGUGGGGUAGUGGCUUACCAAGGCUUUGACGGGUAGCCGGCCUGAGAGGGUGACCGGCCACAUUGGGACUGAGAUACGGCCCAGACUCCUACGGGAGGCAGCAGUGGGGAAUAUUGCACAAUGGGCGGAAGCCUGAUGCAGCAACGCCGCGUGCGGGAUGACGGCCUUCGGGUUGUAAACCGCUUUCGCCUGUGACGAAGCGUGAGUGAUGGUAAUGGGUAAAGAAGCACCGGCUAACUACGUG
rnacentral:rRNA from 1 species